AAUUCAUUGUACGGGCAUUUUUAAAUCAACAUUUUGAAGCAUUCCCACACCUCAUAGAAGUUUUUUCCUUCCAUCUAUCUAAAGAUAGCAAUCUCUCUUCUUAAUU
rfam:Gossypium raimondii chromosome 9, whole genome shotgun sequence.